rnacentral:rRNA from 1 species
AGCGAACGCUGGCGGCAGGCUUAACACAUGCAAGUCGAGCGGGCACUUCGGUGUCAGCGGCAGACGGGUGAGUAACACGUGGGAACGUACCCUUUGGUUCGGAAUAACGCUGGGAAACUAGCGCUAAUACCGGAUACGCCCUUUUGGGGAAAGGCUUGCUGCCGAAGGAUCGGCCCGCGUCUGAUUAGCUAGUUGGUGGGGUAAUGGCCUACCAAGGCGACGAUCAGUAGCUGGUCUGAGAGGAUGAUCAGCCACACUGGGACUGAGACACGGCCCAGACUCCUACGGGAAGCAGCAGUGGGGAAUAUUGGACAAUGGGCGCAGGCCUGAUCCAGCCAUGCCGCGUGAGUGAUGAAGGCCUUAGGGUUGUAAAGCUCUUUUGUCCGGGACGAUAAUGACGGUACCGGAAGAAUAAGCCCCGGCUAACUUCGUG